GGUGUUCAGCGGCACCGCCCGUUCCGCGCGGCCCGCCCUUCCCGGGGCGGUGCCCCCGAGACGCCGUGGGGCGUGAGGUGCUACCGGUGCUCCCCGCCCCGGGGCGAAUGCUGCCCUGCGGGGUGUCCAGUUCGCACAGAUUAAAGCUGAAGGCCUUGGCUGCGUUCUAUAUACCGACCUGAAUCGCCAGACGCAUUUUCAGUUGGAAAGGACCCUGGGUGGAUUUCCAGCCAGCUCUGUAAUUGUAACCAGUCACUUUUCACCUGGCUCUCCUUGAGGUUUUUAUUCACAUUAAGAGUCUCGACCUUUAAAUCAACCAAAUAAAACAUGAAGUCAAACACUUUAGUAUGAAUUACUACUUCAUUUCACGCGCACACGGGGGAGUACAUCAUACUCUCUUGCUCUAUUGUAUUUGGAAGCUACCAGUCAACUCUGGGCAGCAGUUGCAGCAUUACAAAGUGUAUAUGUCCUUACAAAGGGAAUGUAACCACUGCUGCACACUUUCCUUUCCUCACUGCCAAUUUCUCCCUCAGCAUUCCACUCUGCUUCCAACGCCAGUCCUGAUGACGUAGGACAUUCUUAAUUGUACGUACUAUAAAUGCUGUUGCAAUGUUUUUGUUAGCCCUUACAAAUUACUGGCAGGCUGGUUCCUUAAAUUCCAUAUUUAAUUUGGACAGCGCUCAGUAUACUGAGCAUCAGUUGGCCAGAACAGAAGUUACGUUUCACUGCCUUUGGCUGUGCGUUGGGAAAGGUGUUUAAAGUAUUAUUCACCACCUUUCUGACCCAGCAGUGUGCCUAUAGAUAAUGCAGGCAGUCUGAGAACCUACAGGUGUAUCACUGGCGUUUUUUGUAUUUAGCAUUUCUAAGAUGAUACUGAUUUUUUUGGGAGAAGGGGGGGAGGAUGUCUUAUUUCUUCUGUUUUAAUACUGUCACCAACAAAUAGCUAUAGCUGAUCCAACAGACUUAUUUUUUAAAAAUCAGAAACAGGACAAGGCUCUUCAGUCAACUACAACAGUUUUUCUGUGGCUUUAGUUCUAUGUCUCUAUAUAUUAACUCCACAAUUACCUGACAUUAUAUUUUUAGAGAAUUUUCUUCCUCGCAAAUACUUUUCUUUCUCUCCCUGUGAGAAACUCCCUCCCACUGCUCACAGUGCCGUGGUGCCAAGCACACCUGGGUGCUUAACGACUUCCACCAGUGCAAAAUUGUUCUCUCUCCGUCAGUGAGCAGAAGUUCACUGCAGGCUACCAUACGCUGGAUGAUAGCAAGACAACAGGCCGGUUUUUAUGUGCAUUUCAAAACAGCAUAACCAGAAUUGUAUGAGUUGGCCAUUUUUCUUUUUUUACAGACAUCAGUUACUACUUUAGUCAUUAAGUACAUUUUACUAUAUGGUCCAGAAAUGGCAACCAGAACAUUAUAAGAGUGGAAAAUAAUCUACUGUGAUCCAAGGAAGAUGUAAGUGCUCACUGCCACCACAUGUAAUUCAUAUACUGAGGGAGCAGAGAGUAAUUUCAUGGAUUGUUUUUGAGUUCAAAAGCAGAAAAUUAGAUAUUUAAGGCUUCUCUUCACACCGGAGUUCCAGCAGGUUUUGCAGUGCUCUGCCUGGCAGUAUCACGUUAGACUUUUUUGGGGUAUCCCAUAAUUCUUUAUGCAAGAAUGUAAACCAGGUUGCUCAGCAAAUACUUUUCCAGUGAGCUAAGCAAGAACUUGCUCAUAGGGCAUACAGGUGAGAAACACUGUCAGGAUUCACAGGGUUUAACCUGCAUCAUUACUAUGAACUUUGCAGGUCAUGCAUUUGAAUAGAAGUGGAUCCAUGAAUCAUGGAUUACUCCUAGUCCCACCAGCUGAACCAUUGGGCUCAGUAACAAGGGUGAAUACGUACAUAAAGAUGAAGAAAAAUAUGGGAAAAAUUUAAUUAAAAAGCAACCAUUCCUAAAUUAACAUCUUUGCACAAAGUCCUUUAUUUUCUGCUAUAAUAAUGAUAAGCCUUAAAGAAGGAAGUCAGCAUCAAAACAAUGAUCUGUUCCUAUUUUAUCAGCUUGUCACCAAGUUUCAUUCUAAAGUAAUUUAAAGAAAAUGCUGCAGAAGAGGCAAACUCUGGUGCUGAGGUCUAAUAGGAGUUAUCCAGAAAGGAUGUUAAUGUGAGGAUCACGUCGAGUCAGCCUGUAACAGAUAUGUUUCCUUGGCUUCAAGACUAGAAAAUUUGUUAGAGAAAGAAAAUUAGUCAGUAAUGGAACAACGUACUCUUUAUCAUCUUUAAGAUGAUAUAUUCAAGUUAUUUACAUAACUGACAAAUUAUUCAUUACUUUAAUAUCUCUUACGUUACAUUUGGAAAGCAAGAAGGGAAGCACAGGGAAACUGAACGCACUCUUUUGCCUUUCCUAAUGAAGUGAAUGAGAUGCUGCAAAACGAAGUGAAAUUACAUGAGGUAUCCUCACAAAAUAGGUAUUCUUACCCCCUCACAUCCCUUCCCUGGCUCUGCUUUUACCCCAUCUAGCUGCCAGCCUUGGCAUUUAGGAGGCUUUUGCCGAUUGGAAUAAUUCAUUAAUCCAGACAAAAACAAACUUCUCUUCCCUCAGGUUAGCAAGUGAAACUGCUUCACAGACAGAUCUAAUGAGUGUUACCACCAGGUCAAAUUGAGUGUUGAAAGCAAGUGGUAAAGAGAGGUAGAGAAGCUCCAACUAUGUGAGACCAAAAUAAUGUAUGGCAAUGUAAGAUAUUACAAGCUUCAACUUCUUCGAGAAAAAGUUUCUGGCAUUUCAAUUUUCAAAGUGCAGAAAAUCUUGGGUUACUUUUGUGAAGGCACGGGAAAAGCCAAGAUUUAAAGUUUACUUUGUCCUGGAACAAAGAAAAGUUUGAAGGAACUGUGUAUGCUAUGGUAUUAGUAGCGGAGCAGAAAUACAAAAGGAGAAGAAUGACCAUGAAAGUACUGAGCAAACAAUACAAACAGGAUAGUAAAUAUCAAAGCUGAAACGUAGAAUGAUGAGAUUAAGGUAGAGCAAAGACAUGCAACAGAUUCAAGUAAAAAUGCAGAAUUAAAGCUGUGUGUAACACACUGGGGAAAGUGCAUUUAGAGAAAGCGAUACGAAGUCUAACAAACUGCAUUACAGUGCUGUUACUGCUAGCCUUAGAAGCCAUGUCUGCACACACAUCAGCUGCUAAUCAGUAAUAACUAUCACAUCUCAAAUUGUAGACUCAGUAUUAAGUAUCUGAUUUGAUACUUGUCAGGUCCUAACCUCUGCCAUUGCUAAUCAAUUGCUCAUGCAGUCUCAUUCCUCCCCCAUUUUACACAAACUCACAUUUGCUUUGCAGAUUAAGCUUUUCCUUUACAUUGCCUACGUCUUAUUAAUGAAGUUAUUUUAGAGCUACGCCAGAUAAAAGAACUACAUUUGUACAUAGGAUGGUGCCAGGUAGCAUUUCUAUCACAACCGUAAGAACAGAGGAACAUAGAUAAAAAUAACCAAGUAACAGACUUACAGGAGAACAGUGAUAAGCAUAAUAGCAAUGAUAUGUUUUAACUAAUGAGAGAUUGUAUCUUGCUGCAGAACAAACUUGGGAAAGAUUAGAUUCUAGAAAGCUGUUCUGCAGUUAAAUGAGGGAAUGUGAGUUCAGAGUUUGUCUGUCCAUUACAUACAGAAUAACAGUGAAGGCAAAAGAAUCAAUACGUAGCAUAGCACUCCUAGUGCAGCAGAACACAACUAAAAGGAAGUGCGUUUGCUGCAGUUCAUCUAACAUAUACCAUACGUGCCUCCUCAGCAGUAAGUCAAAUGACAGAAAAUGCCACUCGGGCUUGAAGUGUGAACUUAGAGCCAUGCACAUGAACUUUUAGAAGAAAGGUUUGAGUGGAAAAGGGGAUCACCAGGUGAAGGUGAUAAACAGUUAUUGCUUUCUGCCCCGUGAGGUGCACUGCAAAUUGCACAACUGUGAACUGAGUAUCUUAAAGUUUACAUACUAAACUGAAAAGUUAAUAUGAGAAAAUAGAAGAGGGAAAUUCUUUACUCAGAGGGUGUUGAGGCGCUGGCACAGCCGCCCAGAGAAGCUGUGGGUGCCCCAUCCCUGGAGGCGCUCAAGGCCAGGUUGGAUGGGGCCCUGGGCAGCCUGAGCUGGUGGGGGGCAGCCCUGCCCACAGCAGGGGUGGGGCUGGGUGGGCUUUGAGGUCCCUUCCAACCCAAACCAUUCUGUGAUUCUAUGAUUCUAUGAUUACUGGAUGAUACAAUAUUAGUAUAAACACUGAUAAAUUGCCAGAAUUACAGAAUAAAUUAAAGAGCAGAAAUGCCAGCUAGUAUAAAAAAAAGUUUUAAACAAGAUAAAAACCCUACCUCAUCAAGAAAGUUUGAUGAUACAAAACUACUUACAUUCAGCAACUGAGCAGAAAUGAAAUGCCACUGCAAGUGCACUUUGCACUGCAUAUAUACUAGCUGUAAUAUCCCAGUAGGCACAAGGACAUAUUUUAGACUAAGCCUAGGAGAUUCUCCUGGCAAUAGAUGUUUUCAGUGCUGUCCCCCGUUCAGCAUCAGCUGCAGCAGUGCUUAGAAACUCCCAAGACAUGGCACAAAAUAAAUAUUGCACUUUGCUACAGAUGGUAUUUUUUUUUCCCCAUCAAAAUACUAGGAAUUUACAGGCUUGCUACUAUGCACUUCAAGUUAAGAAAUGAAAUACAGCUUACUGUCAUUAACAUUAAAUAAAAGACAACUUUCACCAGCUUGAAGCUAUUCAGUCCUGGCAACCAGAUCCAUUCGGCGAAAAGGCUACUAUUUGGUGUCUAAUCACAACACAGAGACAAAGAUCCCACCUCAGCAUGCAGAUAGAAGGAAUAACCCAUCAUCUGUAAGUACAGAAUGCUUCUGACUAAAAGCAGCCAUCCUGAGCUUUUUUUUAUGCUUAAUCACUUUUGGAAGACUCACAAAGCUUGCCGAAGGAAAACAUUACAGCAACCGUUUUCAGUUAGUUUUCUCAGUGGGUUGAGGUAGUGGCUCUACCUGUUUGCAGGCACAGUAAGUGAACAGAUGCACACAACUAUUCUUCAGCUGUUAGAAGCCAAGUAUCUCUGGCCAUUUCUUUUCAGAGUCUGCUGCGACAGCAUGCUGUCAGCUUAAUACCGCUGCUGAUAGCACCAGUCCCAACUUGGAUCUGAACCACUACUUCCCUACAUGAGAGCAAAGCUUUGUAUGGCUACAAACAUGAAGAGAAGUGCACCUGGUUGAAGCCACCUCAGCUAGGAAACAAACAUUUCUGUUUUGUGUGUACAUGUGUGAGCAGAGAUACGUCACUUUUCAGGCUAUUUUUCAAUGAGGUUCUCAGUGCCAUGCAGGUAUGUCUGUCUACAUAUUUUUAAAACAGUACUUAAGCAAUUAAACAAACUGGAGGAGUAUUACAGCCUGUAAAAAAAGAUGCUACAUUUCAAUUUAGCCAGAAGUCACUACUGCCUCCGUGGAGAUACCUCCAAUUGCCUCCUGAUAUGAAUUCAGAACACGAAUGCUAUGAAAUCUCAAUCAAUUCGUGGAAAAUUCUCUCAAUUAAAAUAAGAGAUUAGAAAAACCAGCACAAUUCACAGCAUCUUAAAGCGACCUGCUAUGAAUCCCAUUCAAUUCCUAAUAGCAGCUUACUAUGUUACUAUCUGCAGUUACAUCUUUAAGAUCUAAUGCUUACGUUUAAGUCCCAGGCUAUAAAAUAUUUGACUGUUUGGAAAAAAAAGUAAAUCAAAAACCAGUCAACUGAAGUUAUUCAGUGCAGAACUGGAAACAGUGGCAAACUCAAGCACCAAGGUGAUGAAAAUUUUUCCCUAAGAUAAAUAGAAGUCUCUAUUAAGCUCCCAUCUCCAUCUAAAUAUUAGUCUCAUUUGGAUAUAUAGCAUUUUUACAAUUUGUAUUCCCCUGAAAUAUCCUCAGAUACUGGACAGAGUAUUCACAUUAGAACUAAAUACAUGCAGAUCUAACUGAUCUUCACAGCUCUAACACUUAUAAUGCAACAUUAGUAUAUGCAUUGAUGCAUUCAGGUUGUGAGCAACUUUUGUUAUUUAACACUGUAUAUUUUGGUUUACUAGAGUGCUGUUUAAAAACACACAAGCCACUUGGGUCAAUCAGAUUUAAUUUAAUACAGAAUUUCAGGCUGAAGCUUACAGUAGCUUUGUUGAAGAUAUACUGUAACCUGUGAGAUUUCUAGGGCUGAAGUAAUGCCAAUGAUUGUGUAAAAAUCCAGAUUCAAAGUUUGUUUCAAUUCUAGUAUAUGUUUUGAAGACAUCUGCAAGCAGUUACAUUUAAGACUGUAUAGAUAAGGUAUACUACAAUACUCAGCAAUCAAACUUAUUUUCGACAUACAUUUCUGCCAUGUGGCAACACAGUAGUUUUAAGGGAGACUGACUGUCACACCUCUCAGAUAACCUGCUCAUUUACCCGUUUAAAAAAAAAUAAAGCUUCCAUUCAUCCCCAGGAGAUUAAUUAAUUGUCAUUUUCUUUGAACAUUUUGCUCAGCUGUUCCACUAGUGCUACAAGCUCAGGGUUUCCCCCAAGUGAUUCGAUUUGUUUAUAGGCUUCAGAUUCAAGCUCUUUCAGUGUAUUCCGAGUGUACUCAAAGGAACCCACGUUUUCGAGGUAAUGCACACAGUAUUUUUUUAUAUCUAUGUUUUCUGUCCUUUGACGUAAAAUGUUUUGCACCUGCGUACUUUCAGGUUUUGACCAAAUUGCAUGAAUGGUUGGGAAUGAGAACUUGCCCUCAGUUAAGUCUUCACAAAAACUCUUGUUUUCACUAUAUUCUUUGGAGUGCAAGUUGGCAUAGUCAUCUCUUAUUUGGAAGAAGAGACCAAGCGUGUUAAGAAGCGGUUUUAAGUCUUUCUUAUAAUUUGAGAAGAGCUGCAUGAGGCCUACAGCUAAUCCAAAGAGACCGCCUGUCUUUUGCAGUACCAUAGCUUUGUAUUCAGCUUCUGUAGGGCAGGUGUAAGUAUCCCUCCAGUAAAUGUCCAAGCCUUGACCUUUGUGGAGUUCCAGUAGCUGACGAGUAAAAACUUUAACGGCAUCUGGGUGAUCAAGGGUUAAAACCUUCUCUAAGCCAAGGAAAUACACAUAAUUAGCACAGUUGAUUACAGACGGAAUUCCAUAGAUACUGUGUGCCACUGGAAAGCCCCGUCGUAGCUUUGAGUUAUCUUCAAUAUCAUCCACAAGUAGGCUUGCAUUGUGUAACAUCUCUGUCACUUCAAUGAUAACCUGUAUUUUAUCUUCUGGAACAUUAAGCCAGUGAUUGAAGGCUUGUGACAGCUUGGUUCUUACUUGCUUACCUGGUAGUUGAAGUAAAUACUGGUAUGGCUCUAGAAUUCUUUUAGAUGUUUCAUCCGUCCCAUCCAUGUCUCUUUCAUAAAAGGUAGUUCACUGUUAAACAAAGCG
rnacentral:lncRNA from 1 species